ensembl:rRNA 5S_rRNA 5S ribosomal RNA
GUCUAUGGCCAUACCACCCUGAAUGCCCUGGAUUUCACUUGAUCUCAGAAGCUAAGCAGGGUCGGCCCUGGUUAGUGCUUGGUUGGGCGAGUGGGGAGGGACUUCACACUAGUGCCAAGACA